rnacentral:sRNA from 1 species
CUUGAUCAGACCUUCGACAUUCAGAUCAUCCUCGGGAAGGUGCGCCCUUUCCUACGCCGCCUCACCGAGGCU